GUCUCCGCGGGCGGCGGGACGCGGUGGUGGGGCGGCAGGCCGAGCAUGUCGGAGAAGAAGCAGCCGGUGGACCUGGGGCUCCUGGAGGAGGACGACGAGUUUGAGGAGUUCCCGGCCGAAGAUUGGACUGGUUUAGAUGAAGAUGAAGAUGCGCACGUCUGGGAAGACAAUUGGGAUGAUGACAAUGUCGAAGAUGAUUUCUCCAACCAGUUAAGAGCUGAAUUAGAAAAACAUGGAUACAAGAUGGAAACCUCAUAGUUUUUGCUGAAUAUGGAGUGGUUUGACAUUGAACUGUGGAUAGACUAUAUUGAGAAAAGAAGAAAAGGUGGAAAAUGAGAAGAUACACUUAGUUCAUUAUCUGCUUGGAUUUAUUAUUGUUUUGUAUAAAAAAUAAAGUUUUUAAUCUUAGCC